AGAGUUUGAUCCUGGCUCAGGACGAACGCUUGCGGCGUGCCUAAUGUAUGCAAGUCGAGCGGAGGUUAUUCCUUCGGGAGUAACUUCAGCUGGCGAACGGUUGAGUAACACGUAGGCAACCUGCCCCGAAGUGGGGGAUAACUCAUCGAAAGGUGGGCUAAUACCGCAUGUGGAACCGCCUCGCAUGAGGCGAGUUCCAAAGCAGCAAUGCGCUUCGGGAUGGGCCUGCGGCCUAUCAGCUUGUUGGUGGGGUAACGGCCUACCAAGGCUCCGACGGGUAGCUGGUCUGAGAGGAUGGUCAGCCAGACAGGGACUGAGACACGCGCCCUGACUCCUUUGGGGGGCAGCAAUGACGGAUAUUGCGCAAUGGGCGAAAGCCUGACGCAGCGACGCCGCGUGGGUGAUGAAGUCUUUCGGGAUGUAAAGCCCUUUUGUCGGGGACGAGAAUGGACUGGACCCGGCGAAUAAGCCCCCGGCUAACUACGUGCCAGCAGCCGCGGUA
rnacentral:rRNA from 1 species